GUAGCCAUAGUGCAGAUAACCUUUUAAAAAAUGUUAUUUUAAUGUCACUCUUGAAUUCAUCCUAUUUCAUUUUCCCUCACUGUGCUUAGUCUCAGUCCCUGUCCCCUGCCCACCCCACCCCCAAAUUUGGCCCUUAAUUGGAGUAGCAACAUGGAAAAUUAUCCCAGUAGUAUGGAGGGGACAGUGUUCUAGAAGUGGCUAGGGGAGAUAGUCCUGGAGAGAAAUGGGAGGCAAGAGAGAGGAGACCCACCCCAAAUGAGGGGCUUGGUGAUCAGGGGAAACAUUCUCCCAACUAACCUACAAAGCAGAUAAUUGAGAGUUGACUGUAAAUUAGUUCUAUGCCGUAAAUGACCAAUCCUGAUGGACUAUGUAGCAUCUUUAAAAGAAAAAAAAAAUUAAAUAAAGCCCCAAAAUGAAGAUUUCUUUUGUUAUUUUGUCACAUUUGCUAGAGAAGAAUUUAUUUAGAAUGACAGGCACUACCUGUGUUUCAUAAUGCCUUCUAAAUUAGCAAUGUCUUCUUAGAUCCUCUUGGCCUUGACUAUAAGGCUACAGAUGGAACUGCUAAAAUUUUAAGUGGCCAUCCUUGUUUUAAAAAAAAAAAAAAAAGCCUUUUGCCUUCUUCAAGUUUGGAAUUUUUCAGUUACUGGAUUUCCAAGAAAGGAAACCUUACCUCUAAAAUGAAACAGCUGUAAUAAUUAAUUGAAAUUGGGCUCUAUUAACUUACCAUUCACUGGUCUGUGAAUUUAUCUGUUAGGAAAGAAAAUGAGAAGAGUAAAGAUGAACUAGUUCAGCUAAGAAAUUUAGCAUGACUCAAGUAUUUUAGGUGCUUCCCAGAACAGGAUCUUCUUUGAAGGCAGGAUGCUAGUUCAGCAAGCCACUCUGCACAAUGCUUCCCUCCUUUGAACCCAGAGCCUCUGUGACGAACAGAGCAGUAAACUUUAACAUGUUGAUCCACAAGUCUCUGUUUAUUUUGCCAUCCAGUGUUACUGUAGAAGGAGGGUGGUGAUUAGGCUGAGAUGUUUUGGGGUGGCGUAAAAGCCACUGAGUCCUAAAGUUUCUAAAAUUCCAGCCUAUUUAUGGAGAAUCUGCCCUCAUUUUGUACAAGAAUGGGUUUUAACUAAAAUUUUAAUACAAAGAUGUCAAUCCCUUCUCCUGUCAGCCAGUGAAUAUUUGUCUUUUGUUUUGCUUUUUGGCUAGGGUUCUAUAUUCUGUGUUUAUUUUUGUGAGCUUAGGGAGAAGUUUGUUUUCUAUCAUUAUCAGAGUAUAAAAUUCAGAGCCCUAGGGCAUCCAAACAACUGGCAGAGAAAGGCAUAAUAGGCAUCAGAAAUAUAUUAGUAUUUCUGGUAUCUUAUCAAUCAUGAUGGAUAGAGGGCAGAGAGGGUGGGUAAAGGAAGAGAUAGAUACAGAAUGGGGGAGAAGAGAGGUGAAUCCAUCCAGUGAAGAGAGAAGGAAAGCCAUUAAAAUAAAUCUAAGAAGAGAAGAGAAGGACUAGUGAUCAAGGAUAACCCUAGGAAGUGUGAUGAUAUAUAAGUAAGGCUGUAAAGAGAUUGGAGGGAUAGGAUAUUAGACUUUGCUCUUAAAUUUCAAACCACUGCUCAAAGCUCAGCCCUUGCCCUCUAAAUCCAGUCCCCAAUGAAGGCCAUCUCAAUAAAGAGCAUGCAAGAAGACGUGAGCAGUCAUCAAGUUUCAUAAAAUUUUAUCAAGCAUAUUUUUAAAUUGAGAAUUUAAGCUCCCUUGGAACCUCAGCCAUGGGGAUAACAGUGGCUGUGUGUUAUUCCCACAUAAAGUUUGCAUCUUAGAUGCAGUUUAAAAAAAAAAAAAAAAAAAAAAAAAAACCAAGCCAUUAGCAUUUUACAUGUAGGGAGACCUCUAAUUUCUAAAUUUAAUUUUUAGGACAAAGUCCCCUUUAAUGAUUCUUUCUAACCUGCAUUUUUUUUUCUCCUUCCCUGAUCUAUGAAAUUACUUGCACAGACAGUAAUGAAUACUGAUAAAAAUCAUAGUAGGUUUUACUGGCUGAUAGUUGAUAUCUUCAGUGAGGGGCUCAUACUUACAAAAAGGAAAGUGGGAGGAAUGAAAACCUCCAGCAAUUCAUGAAAACCAAAUGUUUCCAAAUAAAUUGCAAGAACAGUGUUAGCCUUUCCAAGCAGCAGACCCAGAGUAUUGUCUAUUAGCGGCACCUCACCUAAAUGUAGUGGUCACUCAUAGAUAACAUUGAAUUUGGGAAUGAGCUAUGGCACAAGGAUAAACUGUAAAAAUUGAGCAAUAUAUUAAAGAAUACUUAGCAUGCAGAACCUAGUUCAAAACACAACACUAACUUCAUUCACUGAACAAUAGAGAUCUGCUUGAUUUCGAGUCCUAUAAUUCUGUUCAUUACACUACCC
rnacentral:lncRNA from 1 species